UCUCUUUAAUUAUAUCUCCAACUUGUAGUAUUCUACCAACUGUCCGUACCAGAGUUUCAUGCCAUUUGAUGUCAAGCUUUUUGUUCAACUUAAUUCCAUCGUCAAUAAGUAAGAUAACAAUUCUUGCUUUGAAGCAAAUAGAAUCACUCGCCUCCAACCCAAAGCGUCGACGAGAUUCUUCAACAGCAUCCAAGGAUAAGCUUGAGUCUUUAAGAGAUGAAUAAAACUUUAGAAAACAACCAAAACCAAGUUUUGCCUCCUCAUUUCUUUCUUAAUAACAGAAUCUUAGUUCUCGUUCCAAGAAAAAAAAAGCUUCGCAAAGUUAGAAACAAAUCCGUUAAAAAGUUUGAAGAAUCAGAAACGUUUCUUCUUACAAUUUCAAACCAAGAAACGUUAUGUCCAUUCUUCAGUUCAAAACGUUCAAAGCAGAACAAAUACGCUCAGGUUUUCAAGGAAUUCAAGUGUAAUUUCGUUCAUAUUUCACAGAAGCUGAUCCGUUCAAAUAUUUUCGGGAACAGGUCCAGGUAGGGACUCUGAUCGACCCCUCCGCUAGGAUUUCGGGGUUCGGCUGUAAGUUGGUAAGCUCCACCUUUUCCUGGAGCUAUCAUAGGAUGGUUACUUUUGUUGUACAGUUUGGGUAUAGUCGGGGCCUUAUCCCGAUAGUGCUUAUGACACUCUUAGAGGCUAUUGUGGACAUAGUAUUCUGGGUUUCUUUUUUUCCAGCUUUCAGUCUCCAGCCCAUAGGCUUGGCAUGUGUAUAUAUAUGUGUAGGCAUGUAUGUCUCAAAUUGCGACCUCGUCGGUCAGCUAGUACUUUAUUAUUUUAGCUCGUCUACCUUUGUUUA